CAUUUUACAUGGAGCUUCUUGAUCUCAACUGCGAACCUUGCUCGACCUCGCCCUGUUACGAAGACGAAGAAGAAGUCAAAGACACAAAAAAUUUCCUCCCUGACGUUAUUUUUGAAUGGCGAGACACUGAGAGCCAGAAAAUCGACGCGCCGCUUUUGCUGUUAGCCAAUCGCAGAACCGCAUGCAUGUUUUUGGACGCGCAGUUCAAAGAAAGAAAGCCGUUAGGCAGCAUAAGAGUGAGCUUUGACAACUUAACGGCUUCGCAACACCGUUAUCAUAGCCUCAGCCCAUACAAGAAAUGCUCUGAGAUCUUUUCCGCUACGGUGGAGAACACAGACAUUUUGCUUGUCAUGUGCGAAUACGGGUUGACUCCAGAGGUAGCGGGUCGCUGGGUCAGAAAGCUGUUUUCAAAGGUUAACGCUCAAGACGUGAUUAUUCUGGAUACGCUCUGUUCGCGUAUACGUUUGUCGGGUAAGAUAUGCGAGGCGCCCUGUUUGCGUAUCAUGCAGACCGACAGGGCUAAGGAGAGACACCAAGGCAACGAUUUAAUUUAUUUGGAGUCGUCUGUUUUAGUUCAGAAACUCUCGGCUGCGGUUUUGAGUUAUUGCCAAAUCAGGGACAUCUCUGCCACGCUUAUCAUUUCGCUAGAAAAUGCGGUGAGCGUUGAACUUGCGACGCUGACGAGCUGGGAGACCUCAUUGAAGAGGCUGCAUCCAAUAUUCAGGUCGUCUAUUUCGUCCGUGGAUUAUUUCAAAUCCUCGUUUUACUGUUCUCCAUCGAACACGUUGUACACGUGAGAAUAAAAAACCUGCUCAAAACAAUAAAACCAAAAACAAGACGAGAC